UGGGGAAUAUUGCACAAUGGGCGCAAGCCUGAUGCAGCCAUGCCGCGUGUGUGAAGAAGGCCUUCGGGUUGUAAAGCACUUUCAGCGAGGAGGAAGGGUAGUGUGUUAAUAGCACAUUGCAUUGACGUUACUCGCAGAAGAAGCACCGGCUAACUCCGUGCCAGCAGCCGCGGUAAUACGGAGGGUGCAAGCGUUAAUCGGAAUUACUGGGCGUAAAGCGCACGCAGGCGGUUUGUUAAGUCAGAUGUGAAAUCCCCGCGCUUAACGUGGGAACUGCAUUUGAAACUGGCAGGCUAGAGUCUUGUAGAGGGGGGUAGAAUUCCAGGUGUAGCGGUGAAAUGCGUAGAGAUCUGGAGGAAUACCGGUGGCGAAGGCGGCCCCCUGGACAAAGACUGACGCUCAGGUGCGAAAGCGUGGGGAGCAAACAGGAUUAGAUACCC
rnacentral:rRNA from 1 species